rnacentral:tRNA from 1 species
GGCAAGAUGGCCGAGCGGUCUAAGGCGCUAGGGUCAGGUUACCUGAUCAUCUCAUGUUCUUCCAGAGCAUUCCUAGUCUCGAAAGGGGCGUGGGUUCGAAUCCCACUCUUGUCA